ACUGCAGUUUAAAGGUAGCUCCUACUACAUUUAAACCGCAGAGCCACAGUGAGGGCUUUAUCAACUAAUGGAAUUUCCAUCAACUACUCUGUCAUAAUCAGGAGUGCUGACCAACACCUGGUGACUAAGGAGCCUAUGUUCUUAGCCAAGGUGUCAGACGUGCAAUUGCGUGUAGGAAUUUCCAACUGGAAGAAAGGGGCUUUUCUCUCUCUUCUUUGAGAUCAGAGCAGUUUCUCCCAGGUAUUGAGAGAGAUGGGAGAUGCUUCUCUCUCCAGGAACAGACUUCUUAAAAUGUGAAAGAUCCUGCAAAGUGCAUAAGUUGAUGUGACAGGCAGCAGAUGGGACUUCUUCUCGGAAAACAUGUAACAGCAUGCCAAUCUCAGAACCAAAAGCAGCAUAGCCCUCCUGUGGGUCUGAAGGGACUCCAGUUACCUCCUGGCCAAUCUCCGGGAAGCUGUCGCCUGGCCUGCUUCAGCCACCUGUGAAAUCAAAACUAACUCCCGCCAUGCUUGCAGCCCGCCACUAAACUGCCAGCAUGAAUGUGAUGUUUAUACUCAAUACUGAUGGUGGAUAUACUGUGAUACAAAAACAGAAGAAAGCAUUUUGUUACAAACUGAAUUGACAUUGGAGGGGCAGUUUAAACAUUUCAAUAUAAACAUUAACCAAGAUUAUAUUUUUAUUCUAAUAUGCCAUGUUACUGUAAAAUUUUAGUCUGUGUACAUAGCAUUAAUGAAUGUGAAGCAUGUGCUUAAAUUGUUCUCAAAUUGUUCUGUAACAGGGUGGAUAGUUUCAGAAUGCAACUGCAACAGGACAAGUAAGAGCAUGAAUGUGGCUUGUGUAAACUAGCUUACACAUGCCCACUGAAGGGGAAAGAAAUACAAAACUAUGUUGCCAUUGCUGGAAUUUUGAAACUGACAAGGUAUUACUGGCCCAGUGAUACGAUAAGCUAAUGCUCCCAUUAUCAAGUCUAACAGGCAGACUUUUUUCCAUGUCACAGUGAAAGAUUAAGUUAGCAUCCUCUUGAAAGAUGGGGGUGAAUGAUGUAAACUAACAAAUUGCCAUCUGCAGUACAGAAGACUCUAAAAGUCACAAAACACCAGAGUUAUGAAACUACUGGUCAGACACCCUUUGAACCUGGGUUCAAUCAGGCAGUAGUAGAGACAAAGAAGAAAGAACAGCAGCAAAUACUGUACAGCCUGGGGCUUUAGCACCGGGGUUCAUGAUUUCAACAAGGCCCUGAUUCUGGACUGAAACUGGGAGCAGAGCUGUGGAGCUAAAGCCCAGAGCUUCAGUGCCUACCACAAGGCCGAAGCCCUAAAUGCAGAAUUCCCCUCAGUCUAAAGCCCCAAUCCCUACCUGAAAGUGGGAGUAGAGUUUCCCCCUCCGCUCCCCCCGAACUUCCUGCCAGAAGUCUUGAUACCCAUACCCAGAGAUCUGACACACAAACACACCCUCUGUAGCUGUAGCCCCACCGCCCCGAUGGUUGAAAUCCAUAGUUUGGUCAGAAUUACAGAAAACCUCCACUGCCUGUUUUUAAACGUAAAAUGUUGUUAGCAUGCGCAUCAAAUUUGAGGUUACAGUUCCAAGAAGAUUUUUCUUUCCAUGCAAGGACAUACAUAAGCAUAUUCCACUAAUAUUUCCCAUUUAAUGCCUACAGUUCUGUGUGUAAUUCUCCUUUAAUGAGAAAUAAAGUACUAGGGUCAUGUUUUCCUUUGCUGGUAGUGCACUCACAUCUUCAUAGGGCUUUUUAAAUCCAUUUAGAGAUGCUCCUCUACUGAAAUACAAUAGUUAAAAAAACUAAAAUUUUGAAAUAUGGCAAAAUGGGAUUAAUGGAACACCAACAAUAUCCAGACAGGAACUAGGGAAGUUCUUUGAACUAUAAUCAUUAUAAAAGAGUACUGAGUAGAUGAAUCAGAGAACAACAAUAUUCUUCUAGCUGUUUUUCCUCACUAAAAAACAUUUUGCAUGAGAUUUUUAGCUGGUUCAACCACAAGACAACUUAACACUAAAUUUAAGUUGCAGGACUACCACAAAAAGUUGGAGACACAUCACCAGUCAUUCUGCAGAAUACACAGGCCGUCAGUUCAAUUAUGCCAAGGAUAACUUGGCAGGCCAAAAAGGAAUUUGAAGAGCAACUAGCAAGAGACACAAACUAUAGGUU